CAGGAAAACCAGCAGAAAUAAAUCACAGCCUGCCAGAGGUUUGGAGUUUCCGAGGUGCAACUGAACGCAGCACAGUGUUCCAAUGCUCCUGAUUGUCCUCAAACGUCUCUUUGGGUGUUUCCUUCCUGCUCAAAGUUUAAUUUCACUUCCUGAACUUCGUGGAGUGGAGCUUGUUGUUGGUGUGUGAAGAAACUCUCCUUAGAUCACAUGACCUGGAUGACUGAACCUACAGACAUAUUGACCUGGUUUCUAGGUCACAUGACAGACUGACUGAAGAUGAUGAUGGAGGAAGAGGAGGACAGAGC